AAGAACAAAAUUAUUCGCCAGAGUACUACCGGCAACAGCCCGAAACUCAAAGGACUUGGCGGUGCUUUAUACCCUUCUAGAGGAGCCUGUUCUAUAAUCGAUAAACCCCGAUAAACCUCACCAAUCCUUGCUAAUACAGUCUAUAUACCGCCAUCUUCAGCAAACCCUAAAAAAGGGACAAAAGUAAGCUCAAUAAUAACACAUAAAGACGUUAGGUCAAGGUGUAACCUAUGGAGUGGGAAGAAAUGGGCUACAUUUUCUACCCAAGAAAAUUUAAUACGAAAGCCAUUAUGAAAUUAAUAGCCAAAGGAGGAUUUAGCAGUAAACUAAGAAUAGAGUGCUUAGUUGAAUCAGGCCAUGAAGCACGCACACACCGCCCGUCACCCUCA
rnacentral:rRNA from 1 species